GUUGACCUCGGAUCGGUAGAUCCUGG
rnacentral:rRNA from 1 species